rnacentral:rRNA from 1 species
ACUCGAAUAACGACGGAGAGAUCAUCGUCAUCUCGUCGGCGUACGGGCGCUCGCCUCGAUGCACGGGUCGCGUCCGUCGACGUCCGUCGACGGCGUGCACUUCUCUCUCAGUAUGCAUCGCGACCCGUUCGCGGCCUAAGCGCCGCCCGGGAGUCCGUCGGUCGGACGGUAUUAAGCGAACCGCGCACGCGCUCUCGCGCGUCAGGCCCGACGCAAGCCACCGCCUCCUGCCGAAGUGCGGACGCCGGCGCGACGUUGCUGUCGUCGCAGCCGUAGUCUCUGACUGUGCGCGUCUCUGUCUGCGAUGAUUCGGUUUCGGGCACUCGCAGGACCCGUCUUGAAACACGGACCAAGGAGUCUAGCAUGUGUGCGAGUCAUUGAGUUAAAACUGAAAGGCGCAACGAAAGUGAAGGUGCACGCCGUGCGCUCAGGGAGGAUGGAGGGUCGGACUCUCGCACUCCCGAGGCGUCUCGUUUCCAAUCCGUGAAUGCAGGCGCGCUCUGAGCACAGAUGCUGGGACCCGAAAGAUGGUGAACUAUGCCUGGUCAGGUCGAAGUCAGGGGAAACCCUGAUGGAGGACCGUAGCGAUUCUGACGUGCAAAUCGAUCGUCGGAACUGGGAA